rnacentral:rRNA from 1 species
CCUACGGGGGGCUGCAGUGAGGAAUAUUGGUCAAUGGUCGGGAGACUGUACCAGCCAAGCCGCGUGAGGGAUGAAGGUACAGAGUAUCGUAAACCUCUUUUGUCAGGGAACAAAGGCGGGGCCGCGUCCCCGGAUGAGUGUACCUGAAGAAAAAGCAUCGGCUAACUCCGUGCCAGCAGCCGCGGUAAUACGGGGGAUGCGAGCGUUAUCCGGAUUUAUUGGGGUAAGAGGGUGAGCAGGCGGUCUGUUAAGUCAGCGGUAAAAGCCCGGGGCUCAAACCCGGCCCGCCGUUGAAACUGGCAGUCUCGAGUUGGAGAGAAGUAUGCGGAAUGCGCGGUGUAGCGGUGAAAUGCAUAGAUAUCGCGCAGAACUCCGAUUGCGAAGGCAGCAUGCCGGCUCCACACUGACGCUGAGGCACGAAAGCGUGGGUAUCGAACAGGAUUAGAUACCCCAGUAGUC